rnacentral:rRNA from 1 species
GUCGACCGCCUGGGGAGUACGGCCGCAAGGUUAAAACUCAAAUGAAUUGACGGGGGCCCGCACAAGCGGUGGAGCAUGUGGUUUAAUUCGAUGCAACGCGAAGAACCUUACCUACUCUUGACAUCCAGAGAACUUAGCAGAGAUGCUUUGGUGCCUUCGGGAACUCUGAGACAGGUGCUGCAUGGCUGUCGUCAGCUCGUGUUGUGAAAUGUUGGGUUAAGUCCCGCAACGAGCGCAACCCUUAUCCUUUGUUGCCAGCGGUCCGGCCGGGAACUCAAAGGAGACUGCCAGUGAUAAACUGGAGGAAGGUGGGGAUGACGUCAAGUCAUCAUGGCCCUUACGAGUAGGGCUACACACGUGCUACAAUGGCGCAUACAAAGAGAAGCGACCUCGCGAGAGCAAGCGGACCUCAUAAAGUGCGUCGUAGUCCGGAUUGGAGUCUGCAACUCGACUCCAUGAAGUCGGAAUCGCUAGUAAUCGUAGAUCAGAAUGCUACGGUGAAUACGUUCCCGGGCCUUGUACACACCGCCCGUCACACCAUGGGAGUGGGUUGCAAAAGAAGUAGGUAGCUUAACCUUCGGGAGGGCGCUUACCACUUUGUGAUUCAUGACUGGGGUGAAGUCGUAACAAGGUAACCGUAGGGGAACCUGCGGUUGGAUCACCUCCUUACCUGAA